rnacentral:lncRNA from 1 species
AAAUCUAAUGGAAGAAGAACCCUGUUGCUCCCAGGAUUCUGGUUCCUUACAGGAGGUUUCUCUUGUCUCAGUCGGAGAAGCUGCCCUCUUGCUUGGUUCAUGCUGUGGUAGAACAGCUUAAGGGCUUUGGCAAAUUCUCUGUCGGAGCUGGCUGGCCGAGUAUACAUUUGGUUCAUCUCUCUGGCUGCUGGAGGGUGUGCUGCCGUCCAAGUUAGCUUCAGGGUGUUGGAAGGCUUAUGUGCUGAGGUGGUGAGAGACAGAACAUUUAUUUCAACAUCUGCUCUCCCAAGUCCCUAUGUACAUAUUUAUUUUGGUGGCAAUCUACACCAGCAUUUAUCAAGCACAGGUUGAGACACAUCCAGGCAGAAGGGGAAACAAGAUAUAGAUCAACUUGUUUUAUGAAACAAGAUACAGAUCAACUCAUUAAAAAGUAAAUUUCUUUGAAAUACAGAUACACAUCUCAGAGCUCAGUUGGUUAAGCAUCCAACCUUAGCUCAGGUUACGAUCUCACAGUUCGUGAGUUCAAGCCCCGCUUUGGGCUCUGUGCUGACAGCUUGGAGCCUAGAGCCUGCUGAAGAUUCUGUGUCUCCCUCUCUCUCUGACCCUCCCCUGAUCUCUUUCUCUCUCUCUCAAAAAUAAACAUAAAAAAUUAAAAAAAUAUAUAUAUAUAUAAAUAUCCAUCUCAAACGUAGGAGUUUAGAGAGAAACUUAAGCAAGACUUACGUAGCCUCUCACCUUGUUGAGUAGAACCGACCUUCUCAAGUGAUUGUUUGAGAAACACGUUUUCUUCUCUCAGGGCUCUGUUGGUGUCUCUGAGCAGCUCUGUCUCCUGCUCUAACUUGAGCAGCUUCAUGUAGAGUUCCGAUAUCUGAUUUGAUGGCGUCUACAAAAAACAUGUCAGGUUAGCCUUUCGCGGGGUUAUCUGCAUACCCUUUGGGACUGGCAGUUUUACCCCCCUAGAUGGGGUGGGGGUGAGGGUGUGGUGAGCAGGGUUGAAGCCCCUGGGGGAACACAGCAGUAAAUAAGGAAAACAUUUGUUAAGUGGAAGGAACACCGAUGAUCCCUAAGCAGCUGUCACGUGCGAUGCCCGUUUGAAUGUCACAUAAAUGGGCACACCUGGCCUGGAUCCAUCAGAGUGGACAUUUUCUUGGUGUCCACCAUGACGUGGCCUUCACUUGUGACCAUGAGGUCCGACUGAGAGCAGUCCAGCUGGGCGCAGCCUUCUGUAAUGUGAGGGAGACACCAUCAAGGAAAGAAACACCUCCAGGCCCAGUGUUGUGUGAAGAGAAUUUUUUUUUUUAAAUGUAUGUUUCUUUGUUUAUUUAUUCAUUUAGAGACAGAAUACCAGCAAGGGAGGGGCAGAGAGAGAGAGAGAGAGGGAGAGAGAGAAUCCCCAGCAGGCUCCGCACUGUCAGCGCAGAUCCCCACGCAGGGCUCGAACUCACGAACCGUGAGAUCGUGACCUGAGCCGAAAUCAAGAGUCAGGCACUUACCAACUGAGCCACCCAGGCGCCCCUACGUGAAGAGGUUUAAGCCAUUUAAUCCCCUGUGGACUAGAGCCCAGGGACCCAGGAGAAGACCGCCCUGGGCUAUUAAGACCCUGACCCCCUCCCUCCUCCACAUCCUUGGCAACCCUAGAUAUAUUGACGUGAUAUCUGAUUGAAGAAUGCAUCGUGCAAAAGAGGAAGCAAACGUGGUACCUUGAAGACCCCAUAAAUCGACAAUGAGAGCGUUUGUUUGUAAAUAAUUCAGAAACUCCUGAGAUGCAUUUAAGGCUGUAAAUUGGACAGUUUCUUCUAUUUGGGGAUUCACCAUUUUCCAUACAGGCUUGGUAUAGAAAGUGCUUGAAAGGUCAUACAUUCUGUACCUGAGAAAAGAACAUAAAACAGAAUUCCAAGCCAGAAGGGACACAUUUACAAAGAAAUGGAUCAGAUGAGCCAAAGAAUGAUGGCUUGGCUUGGUUACUUGAUACGAGACGACCUGAAAUUGAUCCUCGUGCUUGCCACCCCCCAACAUUUCCGCUAUUUAACACGAGUAGCAUCACUACAUGGACAGUAUUAAAUGUCUAGCAAAAAGGAAAUGGAUUUUGAGAAAUAUGUUCUACUUUGAUCAUCUAAAUUUGUUAAUUUUAUUUAUUUAUUUUUUAAUGUUUAUUUUUGAGACAGAGAGAGACAGAGUGUGAGCAGAGGAGGGGCAGAGAAAGGGGGAGACCCAGAAUCCGAAGCAGGCUCCAGGCUCUGAGCUGUCAGCACAGAGCCCGAUGCGGGGCUCGAACCCACGAACUGUGAGAUCAUGACCUGAGCCCAAGUCGGACACUUAACCGACUGAGUCACCCAGGCGCCCCUAAAAUUGUUAAUAUUCCACGUGAGGUAGUGUUUUGGGUUUUGUCCUUCAAAGUUUCCCUUUCUUUAUUGCUUGAUCUCUUACCGUCUCUUAGCCUGACUAAGCCUAUCUGGUGUUUCUUCCAUAUUGUGAUAACAGUCCUUUCAUUUCCAACUCAAAAAGACAAAAAACAAAAAACACAACAAAAAACCCAUGAUUCUACGUAGAGAGUACAGCUUCCCUUGAUAUUCUAUCGGAUAAUUAGAAUCUCUGACCACUGCUUCAAUCACCAAGGAUCAAUAAACGUGGCUUUCAGUCCAGCAACCUAGAAGGAUGUGGGACUUCUAUUAACCGAUGGGGAAAUAGGCAUUUUGGGGUUGAACAAGCAGAGAAACGUAUGAAAAUUUCGUGAUGAACUCGUUUUUCAAGUGCCAAGAGAGACUCCCGCCCACCAAGGCCCACGAGGUGGGGGGUGUGUGCACAGCCGGUACCCCAUCUGAAUGCCUCGCUCUGCGUCCUCCUUCAGCCACUUGACCCCAAGGCACCGCACGAGGCCAACCUGGAAGUCCAUCCUCUUGCCCAGCAGCUCCGACGGGUCGAUAACCACGUCCUCCUCACCGCACGCUCUGCGAACAGAGGAGGACAGGGCAGAUCACAGAUCGGCCGGGGCCCGAGCAGGUGAGGGUCGUGUCGUCAAAGGGCACUCCUGAGACUCCUCGAGAUAUGGCCAGCUUCUCUGAAGAAAAGACGAGGAGCGUUGCCAGCCGCGGAGCGUGUUCACGCAACAGGCAUUCAAGGAGCUCCCAGCCUCCUGGAGGAAGAGACCGCAACGUAACCGCCUCGUGUAGGAUGCGACCCAGCCCCGGAGCCCCGGGCAGGUUCCCAGUGGGGUAGAGGCUGCGGCCUCUCAAGGCGACCCUUUCCUUGGUGAGCUCUGCACAGUCCAGAGUCAACUCCAGGCCUACAGGUUCGCGAACCAGUUUGGACAGCUUUCCAACAGGGGGCGUCUGUCACGUCAACCUCGCGUCGAGCCCAUAAGCUAGAAUGUGCCUUAGGAGUUUGCGACGAGAGAGAAACCGUCCGGCAGCCGAGAAGCCCGAGGUGGCCAAGUGACCAGAAAGUCGCUGAGACUCCCAGUAAAGACAGUGAGUCGAUGGUCAGCUUGGUCUCUGGGUGCCAGGACCCCGCGGCCCUGAGCUGGUUCCCUCUUCAGAAAGACAGGGAGGCCGUCCCGGGUGCCUGAGAGCGCCUCGCACCCAGACCAGACCGCCGCCUGCCCGCCUCUUUGCUUAGAAUUGCUGAGAGACCUGGGCUUUUGUGAAAACGCUGUGGACUGCCCAUGGCCUAGAGAGAGGGAAGAGAGGGGGUCCCUGAGAGGACGGUGAAGGGCAGUGCAGCAGAGUUAUAGCAACGCCCGUCCCCACAGAAGGUCGGCGAACAACUCAGAAGGAGGCCACGUCAGGGGACGAAGACACCUCAGUCCCUGCCUUGAGGGAAGGGACAGAAAUCCCAUGGGAGCCUAUACCACGGAUGGAGAAGGGACGAGCUGGAAACUCUGCUUUCUUCCAGCCCUCGGGCCGCAUCAGCGAGGACCUGAGACAUUCCCGGCCCGCCGAUUUGGCCGCCGUGGCAAAAAUCAGAUUUGCUGGGGCCAAAUCGUGACUGAAUGAGCUCUUCGGGGACACCGUGCUGACCAGCUCAUCCAGGAGAGCGCGGGCAUGCUGGGAGUUUUCUGCCAGGACCGGGCCGGGCUGGGGGGGCGGGUAGAGAGGGGACACCCACCGUCCCGCCGGGGAGCAGGGAGUCACGCAGACGUGCACCACGGCCUCUUCCUCCCCCUCGCAGUUCAUGAACUCCACCUGCUCCUCCAGCUUCAUGGAGUAGGCCAGCGACUGGAGCCAGAUGUGGGCUGAGCCCAAGUGGACAACCUCGACAGGGUCCCAGAAGGGGUCAUCUUCCUGAGCCACGUGGCUGUCUUCUCCAUCCAGAAAGCGCUGGUAAAGUUCCUCCAUGAGAAAUUUCCUGUUGAUAAACUUGGCUUUUGACCAGAUCCACACCUACGAACACAAAGAUAGGUCACCGGGAUUGGAUUUCACCUGCUCACAGUUCGUUCCCAUGACUUUUCCCAGCAUGCUUCCCCGGAUGGGCCGGCUUUGGGGCACCCAGGACCCCCUAACACUCUCGUCGAGCCUAGCUUUGCGGUGAGGUCCUCCAGGAGUCCACGUUCGUUCCUGACCCAUGGCUCCAGCAUUUCCUGAGUUGCUGGGGCCUAAUAACUUAGAGGAGAUAACGAAGGGAUCAAACAAUACACUGUCCCAGGAGAGAUGACGGUUUGGGACUCAGGGAACACAGAAGAGUGGCCCUCGAAGAUGUCUGUGUCCCAGUCUCUGGAACCUGCCAACAUGUUACCUUAUGUGGAAAAGGGAAUUAUGGUUGUAGGUGGAAUGAAGUUCGCUUAUCAGCUGACCUUAAAAUGGGGAGAUUUGCUCACACUGUCUAGGUGGGUCCAGUGUAACCACAUGGACCUUUUUUUUUUUAAAUAUUUUUUUACAUUUAGUUUUGAGAGGUAGAGAGAGUCAGAGCACAAGUGGGGGAGGGGCAGAGAGAGAAGGAGACACAGAAUCCGAGGUGGGCUCCAGGCUCUGAGCUGUCAGCACAGAGCCCGACGCGGGGCUCGGACUCACAAACCAUGAGAUCAUGACCUGAGCCGAAGUCGGAGGCUCAACCGACUGAGCCACCCAGGCGCCCUCACAUGGACCUUAACUGUGGAAGGGGGAGGCAGAAGAGAUGGUCAGACGGGGUCAGAAGGGGAGUCAGGGAGACGCCAAGUGGCUAACUUUGGAAAUGGAGCACAAUGGAGCCCAGGAAAGCGGGGGCCUCUGGAAGCUUCAAGAAGCAAGGAAACAGCUUCUCAGACCCUCAGGCCCCCAGAAAAGAAAGCUGUGCCAGCACCUGGCUUGUGGCACAGGGAGGCCCGGGCGGGGCCGUAAGGUGACAAUGUGUGUGCUCACGCCCCCCCAAGAACCUGCCGCUGUCUGUCCCUGAGUGAGGGACAGGGCUGCUGAGAGGACAUACGGUGAGGUGAUGGGGGCACAAGGAGCCAACCGAUGUGUCCCUGUCCCUCUGCGUGUUACGUGCCUCCAAAGAAAAAGAUCCUCCUCCAGACACUACAAAGACUUCAUUCUUUCCUUCUUUGCCUCAAGUGAAACCCGUCCUCUCCCCCGAGAGGCGGGGUAAAGACUGCGUUUGAACCUGACCCUGGCAGAGCACAGCACGAGCUCCAGCAGGUGGGUUUUUCAAGCCCUGAGGCUAGGGCACCAAGACGGUGGGAAUCGACGUCCUCAGUCCUCUGCAUCCUUCCUGGCGGACAGUGCGCCCUUGGCCCUGUGACAGCUCAGCGGGGCUCUGCGGGAGCGGCAGGGGUCUCUGCUGACCCUCCCGUCCCCCGCGGGGCCUCAGCCGAGCACGGAGACUCCCAGGCCGGAAGCCUGUUGCACAGACACCGCUGAGAAGUCAGGGCUGAGACCCUCCCUGUCCUCACAAGCCCCGGCUUGCUCCCGAAUCGCCCCCGACGUGUCUCUCGUCGGUCACAUGAAGUGGCCUGGGGGGGGUCCCGUCUCCGCCCUGUGCGCGCACGGUCCAGCAGUCUAGGGCGAACAUCUGCGAGGCGGACCGCCACAAAAGUGCAGAGGCUGCUGUUCGCCCUUCCCAGCCUCACACACGAAACCUUCCAGGAAGGGCCGAGGGACUGCCAGCAUCUCCGAGGCCCCCGGGGAAGGCGUAACUUCAUCCGGGGAGAGGCCACUGAUCCACUCGGAAGGUAAAAAGGGACAGCCUUGGAGAUGACGGAUCAGUAAGCUUAGUCUCUGCCCGAGGAAAGAGGAAAGCGAGCGACAUCACCAUAAAAGCAAUUAGCGCGCAGCCCCUGAAAAGAGAACCCGGUUUCUGCUAAUCAUAGGAAAGGCUGAACGAGAUCCUUUUCAAUUCACCUUAAACUAUAAUGAGCAACGAAAUACAGAGGAACAUGAAAUCUCCUUAAAACGAGGUCUGACAAGACAGUAGGAAAUGGCCAAACCGAACCCUGGCGGAGCGCCUGGCCCCAGAGGCAAAGUACUGGGUCACCAGAGCUCCUUCGACCUGAUGGCUCCUUCCAGAAAACGCAAAAGACAAAAUCACGGUCGCACACGCAUUGAGGAUUCAGCUCCAAAGGCCUCGUGGGACACGCGCAGAAGUCAAGGUCGACUUCCCAGGGUGGGGGUCUCCCAGGAGACCCUCCUGAGUCACGAGAUGUGUCCCCCCAAACCGUACGUUGAAGCCUGACCCUCAGUGCGCUGGGACGAGGAGACGGGGCCGUGAGGGUGGACGCCUCAUGAAUGCACUCAUUGCCCUCAUGAAAGAGGCGUCAGUGCUCCCCGGCCCCUAGCGCCACGUGAGGACCCGGCGAGAAGGUGUCCUUCACCGGAUACCAAAUGUGCCUGUGCCACGACCUCUGCUCCCAGCCUCCAAGCUGUGGUGUUGCCGUAGCAACACGAAGGAACUGAGACCCCUCUGCCCUUUCACCCCACGCCAGGGGACACACGGGAGGCCACCUCGGCGCCGGUCAGAGGAAGAGACCAGGCAGAAAGGGAGGGGCGCCUGGGUGGCUCAGUCGGUUGAGCGUUCGACCCCGGCUCAGGGCAUGAUCUCACGGUUCGUGAGUUCGAGCCCCGUGUCGGGCUCUGCACGGACAGUGCGGAGCCUGCUUGGGAUCCUCUGCGGCCUCCUCUCUCUGCUCCUCCCUGGCUCGCACAUGCUCAACCUGUCUCUCUCUCUCUCUCUUUCAAAUAAACAUUAAAAAAAUAUAAAUAAAUGAAUGGAGAGUGGUGGUUGGGAGCGAUCCCAGGGUUGGUGCCAUGUGGGAGAGAGGACCAGGAGAGAAACGUGGGGGAGGCGGGGGGGUCCAUCCCAGAGUCUGUCCCCAGAGCCCAGCUCACACUGGGAACACGCAGUGCCCUUCACGGGGUCUCCACAGGACAGUCUCUGUCCCCGUGAGAGCCCUCAGAAACCCCGUCCCCAGAGGCAUCCUCACCUCGCGGGUCCUUUGGUUGGUCACCUUCACCAUGACCUCCUUCUGUAGCUCGUGGCCCCUGGAGUCUGAAGCCGCUAAAUUCUUCACCUUCAGUUCCAUUCUGAGUCCCUGUAAGGGGGACCCUUCUCGCUGAGCGCACAGCCCACACCGCCCUCGCCAUUUCCUUCUCCUCCUCGCACGUUCCCAACACGCAGAAGUGUCUUGAACGUGUCCUGGGGAUCGGAUCCUGUGUCACCGGGGGGCCACCCCCUGCUCAGGUCUUCUCUGUGGCUAGAAGGCUUCAGGGUCCUGGACCCAGGGAAGCCCUUUCUGGAGGGCAACCUGGGAGGGGUGGCCUGGCAAGCAAGCAUCGGUCUGGGAGCCUGGAGGGUCUGGAGGGCCUGGGGGGCCGUGGGAGCUGUGGGGGCCAUGGUAGGCAUGGCGCUGGCAGCUGGGACUGCUGAGGCCUGGGGGUUGGCCUGGGUUCUGUCAUUGGCUCACUGCGGGGUCCUGGGUGGAGCCCCUCACCUCUCCAGGCCCCGUGCCCUCGCUGGUACAGCAAAGCCAGCUGGGGCGUUGGGGGUGAGGGGCCGUGGACCCUGUUCCCUGAGGUCCUUCCGGACCCAGCGUUACUCCGUCUUCCAGCCCUUACCUUCUUCAGCUCUUCGCCCAUUUGAUUGGCUUCUGCCACCAGGGGCAUCAGUCUGACGUAGUCCUGGAACACCGCCAGCAUGCCGGGGUCCGCUUUCCCAUCGCCGUGGCUCGCGGCCCCUGGAAACCAGCAGGGUCCCGGUGAAGGUCGGUCACUGGUUCUGGGAGACUUGUCAGCCACGAAGGGGUUUAUUUAUAUGCUUAUGUACUCAGUUAUUUGAUGGUUCACCAAAUGUCUACAUGGGGCUCCUGGGUGGCUCGGUUGGUUGAGCAUCUGACUUCGGCUCAGGUCAUGAUCUCAUGAUUUGUGGUUUCGAGCCCCGCGUCGGGCUCUGUGCUGACAGCUGAGACUGGAGCCUGCUUUGGAUUCUGUGUCUCCCUCUCUCUCUGCCCCUCCCCAGCUCCUGUUCUGUCUCUUUCUCAAAAAUCAACAAACAUUAAAAAAAUUAAAGGUCCUAGCAGAGUCCCAUGUAGGGAUUCUGGUUCCCUAGGAGGAUGUACCCGUGUGCACUCAUUCAGCUAUUGACUGGAGCCUGGACUCUGAGCUGUGAGAUGAUUUGUAGAAGAUUCGCAAUUUAAAAUGACUUUUGUCCAGCAGAAGAUCAUUGCCCCCAAAACCAUCAACCAGCUUUGUCUAACUCAGUCUUAUUUCACUGUUCUUCCCUCUUGUGCUUUACUCUUGAACCUUGGGAAAUGCAGGGGUUAGGGCCCUGAUGCCCCAUACGGUCAAAAAUCCAUUCAACUUUUGAGUCCCCCAAAACAUAACUACUGAUAGCCUUCUGUUGGUCCAAAGACUUACCAAUAAGCAGAUGAUUAACAUAUAUUUUGUAUGUUCUAUGUAUUAUAUACUUACAAUAAAGUAAGCUGGAGAAAAGAAAAUGUUAAAGUCAUAAGAAAGAAAAAAAUAUAUUUAUAAGACUGUGCUGUGUUUAUAAAAAACAAAAAGACCACCACCAUGUAUAAGUGGACCCACACAGUUCCAACCCAUGUUGUCCAAGGGUCAACUGUAUCUAUCGCCUUCUUCUCUGUUUAUUAACAAAAUAGUUUAAUAAAUCUUUGACAUGUGCUCACUCUACAAUAUGGAAAUCCUAAUUUAACUUUCUAAACAUUUCCCUUUGAAACAAGAUGUUAUUUUCUUAGGGAAAGUAGGAGAGCACACAGUGAAAGCAGUUGCUUUUAGAUCAGCAUGUGGAAAAUGCUGGAAGGCAGGGCCCUGAGCUGCUCACCCAGCUUGUCCACACUCACUCCCUCCGCAGCUGCUCUCUCCAGCUGGAAGAAGUCAUAGUCGAACCUGGUCAGGUCUUCACUGCCUCGCUCUGGUGGAAACCCAAUGUAGAGGUAGGCGCUGUUGGAUCCCAGGAUAAUGCGGUCCUAGGGAGGAGACGGGAGGUUCAGUGGGAGCACGCUGCCCUCAGAGAGCAGGGGUGUGGCACCAGCCUGCUCCAGGGGGGACCAAGUCCCCAUGGGCAGUCCAGCUGUGGUAAAUCACAAACCCUGCACGAGGUCCCCAGAGCGGGAGGAGACCCCUGAAUGCAGAGGAAGAGAUUGACGUUUUGCUUUUGUGUGCAUGCUUUCAUUUAUUUCUUCCUUUAUCCCACACGGAGCUCCGACUCUCCAUCAGACAUUGCGGAUCCCAGUGGGCACCAACAGACCCGGGCCCUCCCCUCUAGGACUUUAUAGACAGACGGUGCAAUAGCUUGAGAGAGAUGCUUGAAUGAAAUGGGGGUGCUUCUGCAGAAGGUACAAUACGGGCGCCUAACUUGCACUGGGGAUCAGAGCGGUCCUCUCUCAAGGUGCGCUGUUUACGACUUCAAAGGUGGUCAGUUUCGGCAAGGCAGAGAGGGCUGGGGCCAAACAGAGCCAGGGGUGUUUUGAACAAUCAGGAGAAGGUCCGUGUGACCUUCGUGCAGAGCAGUGAGGCGGGAGGUGGCGGUGAGAUGAGGCAGCUCACACGGGGGCCCUGAAAGGGUGGCCACUGAGGAUUUCCAGGAGGGCGUGUCCUAAUCCAAAUAGCUUGUCUAGAAGGCUCUCUGUGGUUACAGUGUGGAGAAUGGGUUGAAGAGGGGUUUGGGCAGCAGGGAGGCUGGCGGGAGCCCCUGUGGUCACGGGGAGCCAGGCUGGGGUGUGCGGAGGAGACAGCCUAGUGUUUGCGAGGUGCCGCGUGGUCCCUCCCAAUGGCAGAUCUUUUAAGAAGUCUAAGAUAUCAUGAAAUGUCAGAGCUGGAAAGGGUCUUGGUGGACUUCUAGUUCACUCAUCUCUGUUUUAUUAAGUCCCGAUGGGGGACCUGGGGGGCUCAGUCGGUUAAGGGUCCUACUCUUGAUCUCGGCUCAGGUCGUGGUCUCUCGGUUUGUGGGUUUGAGCCCCACAUCGGGCUCUGUGCUGACAGCCCAGAGGCUACUUGGGAUUCUCCCUCUGCUUCUCUCUCUCUGCCUCUCCCCUGCUUGCUUGCCCUCUUUCUCACUCUCUCAAGAUAAAUAAAUAAACUUAAAAGCAAUGUAUAGAUGAAUUCCCGAGGAGUGAAGUGGCUUUUGCCCAGGAACACACAGCAGGUUAAUAUCAGAUCUCCCGACCCCAAGCUGUGACCCAUGUCGGUCGUAGCAGGGGGACAUGGGGUGGCUGGCGCCCCCACCCUGCCCGGUGCUUGCCACGGCGUGGAGGCCUGGGGCACCUCACGGGAACCCCUUCUCCUAGCUCUCCGGUGGGACUGCGGAAAUUCUGCGGCCAGGCAGGAAAGCUUACCAAAUGCUGCAGCUUUGUCUUGGUCACGAUGGGCACCCCGUUAACGACAACUUUGCAUUUGCUGUGUGGCGUGACCGUCACCUUCCCAUCCAAAUUUGUGAAGGAAGCGUGUUUAUCUGAAAUGCUAAAAAGACAAGAGGUCUAGGUAGCCAAAAUAAUCGUGACUGUAGGGCACACGGUUUUGGUGGUUGCUCCCCACUCGCACGCGUAAGUAAGACCUAUGGAUGCUGCAGGGUGGCCGGAAGCGGCUCAAGGGG